rnacentral:tRNA from 1 species
GCCAGUGUGGUGUAGUGGUUUGAGUGUCAGACUAUGACUCUGGAGGUCAGGGUUUGAUUCUCCACUCAAGCA